CCGGAUAUGACCACAGCAUGCAUGUGUUGUGGUGGAAAGAUUUAUCGGUGCAGGAUGGGCCCGCGGCCUAUCAGCUUGUUGGUGGGGUAAUGGCCUACCAAGGCGACGACGGGUAGCCGACCUGAGAGGGUGACCGGCCACACUGGGACUGAGACACGGCCCAGACUCCUACGGGAGGCAGCAGUGGGGAAUAUUGCACAAUGGGCGGAAGCCUGAUGCAGCGACGCCGCGUGAGGGAUGAAGGCCUUCGGGUUGUAAACCUCUUUCAGCAGGGACGAAGCGUGAGUGACGGUACCUGCAGAAGAAGCACCGGCUAACUACGUGCCAGCAGCCGCGGUAAUACGUAGGGUGCGAGCGUUGUCCGGAAUUACUGGGCGUAAAGAGUUCGUAAGCGGUUUGUCGCGUCGUUUGUGAAAACCCGGGGCUCAACUUCGGGCUUGCAGGCGAUACCGGCAGACUUGAGUGUUUCA
rnacentral:rRNA from 1 species